AAACUGAGACAAAUGUUUAUCAAUUAAAUGAAACACCUACUUUGUUUAAUAAGAGUGUAUCUAUGUCUGAAUUGUUGAAAUGGGAACAUAUUCCAGGAAUUUCAAUUUCUGAUACAUACCAGGAUACACAUUUAGCAACUUGUAAAGAUGAUAUUACCUUUAUUUUUUCUAACCAAACCAAAUCUACUCCACAAAUUGGAUGAUGAAUGUAGUUUU